AACGAACGCUGGCGGCAGGCUUAACACAUGCAAGUCGAACGCCCCGCAAGGGGAGUGGCAGACGGGUGAGUAACGCGUGGGAACGUGCCCUUCGCUUCGGAAUAGUCCCGGGAAACUGGGUUUAAUACCGGAUACGCCGGAUUGGGAAAGGUUUAUCGGCGAAGGAUCGGCCCGCGUUGGAUUAGCUAGUUGGCGGUGUAAUGGACCACCAAGGCGACGAUCCAUAGCUGGUCUGAGAGGAUGAUCAGCCACACUGGGACUGAGACACGGCCCAGACUCCUACGGGAGGCAGCAGUGGGGAAUCUUGGACAAUGGGCGCAAGCCUGAUCCAGCCAUGCCGCGUGAGUGAAGAAGGCCUUAGGGUUGUAAAACUCUUUCGCCGGAGAAGAUAAUGACGGUAUCCGGAGAAGAAGCCCCGGCUAACUUCGUGCCAGCAGCCGCGGUAACAC
rnacentral:rRNA from 1 species